GACCCCGUACAUCACGUGACACAGCGUCAUCGCUAAUGUCAGAAAGGUAAACAGUGUGAGAAGAUCUGAACCUUUAAACACGAUAUCUCAAACACCAGCGUUCAGCACAGGGUUGCGCAAUCGACAGGAUGGUAUGAUUGAUAAUUAAUGCUUGCAGCUAUGUAGCUGAAAAGAUUCAGCGAGCAUGCUGCAAGUCCAACUCAGAGGUUGGGUCAGAGGUCAAGGGCAUAAAGGAGAGGGAGUGUGUCAUCAGCAAAGGCAGCCGUUCUGCACAAAAUGGCUAUGGCCCAGUUGUUGAAGCCCAACCGAACAACCCAAAGGCUGAGUACGGAGUAGCUUAUGGGGGAGGAGGAUGAGGUUAACCACCCCAGAGCAGACCAGCCCUACCACACAGGAUGCCACGCCUAGCUCUGGAUCUCCCUACCCCAAGACACAACCUGUCACCAGACAAACUACCUCUUACUGUCUCUUGCUGUGAAAAUACACUGUUUAAUUUUCUGGCACUGCAUAAUUUUGAGUCAACUUCAAAUUAGUUUUUAUACAAAUGUGGUACAUCUGUUGUUAAAUAACAUGCGGGUUGGUAUAAUGUUAUUAUAUUCCUACAGAAAUUGGCUCCAUACAGUGGCACAUUCUGCAUAUUGUGCUAUCAAUUUGUGAAGUACCUGUACUGAUUUCAAAUAUUUAAAUAAUCGUGCAUCUUAAACCAUUGUUAGUGAGGAAUCAUAAACAAUUAGUACUUUAUUUCUUCAUAUUUUUUUCAAGCAAAUUUAAGAAGUACUAUCAGGGACUUUUGAAUGUUAAUUUCUUUUUGAAAGGACUCUUUGCCUAACAUUUUUCUUUUUCUGUAUGUUAUAACUGUGUGUUUGACUGUACAACAUAUCAUGAGUUGUUGGGGAACCAGUGUGUACACCACGCAGCUGUCAGUGGCUAAUGACGAUGCACUCUAAACACUGUUAUUCACAGCAAGACUGUAUCUGAUAUAUCACCAUAGCUGCCUUAUGUAGACCGUGUUGGUUUUCCAUGGACUUGACCAGCAAUGAUAUUAAAAAAAAUCAUGUUUAAAAUAUAUUUCAUGUUUUUAAAAAGAUAUGUUUGAAUAAACAUGAUAAACAUUC